AGGGUGUAAACGCUGCAGACUUGGUGUUGGAAGUCCUUUGGGGGCAUUCAGUGCCGGAGAGAAGUUGUUAAGUCUGCUACUUGGGGAGUACGUCCGCAAGGAUGAAACUUAAAGGAAUUGGCGGGGGAGCACCGCAACGGGAGGAGCGUGCGGUUUAAUUGGAUUCAACACCGUAAACUCACCAGGGAAGACUGUUACAUGAAGGCCGAGAUGAAGACUCUGCUAGAUUUUUCAGAGAGGUGGUGCAUGGCGUCAGUGACU
rnacentral:rRNA from 1 species